UACGUAGGGUGCGAGCGUUGUCCGGAAUUAUUGGGCGUAAAGGGCUCGUAGGCGGUUUGUCACGUCAGGAGUGAAAACUCGGGGCUUAACCCCGAGCCUGCUUCUGAUACGGGCAGACUAGAGGUAUGCAGGGGAGAACGGAAUUCCUGGUGUAGCGGUGAAAUGCGCAGAUAUCAGGAGGAACACCGGUGGCGAAGGCGGUUCUCUGGGCAUUACCUGACGCUGAGGAGCGAAAGCGUGGGGAGCAAACAGG
rnacentral:rRNA from 1 species